rnacentral:miRNA from 1 species
GUGGUUUUGGUUUCCCUCUU